rnacentral:sRNA from 2 species
AUAUCUCUCUGUACGGGAAGGAUGAGAAGCUUCGACCAAGGUUCGAUUCGAGCGCAGCGAGAAAGCGUUGCCGCAGGCAACGACCCGAAGGGCGA